GAUGAACGCUGGCUACAGGCUUAACACAUGCAAGUCGAGGGGAAACGACGGGGAAGCUUGCUUCCCCGGGCGUCGACCGGCGCACGGGUGAGUAACGCGUAUCCAACCUGCCUCUGACUGAGGGAUAACCCGUCGAAAGUCGGCCUAAUACCUCAUGGCAUCGUCUGCGGGCAUCCAACGACGAUUAAAGAUUUCAUCGGUCAGGGAUGGGGAUGCGUCUGAUUAGCUUGUUGGCGGGGUAACGGCCCACCAAGGCUACGAUCAGUAGGGGUUCUGAGAGGAAGGUCCCCCACAUUGGAACUGAGGCACGGUCCAAACUCCUACGGGAGGCAGCAGUGAGGAAUAUUGGUCAAUGGGCGGGAGCCUGAACCAGCCAAGUAGCGUGCAGGAUGACGGCCCUAUGGGUUGUAAACUGCUUUUAUGCGGGGAUAAAGUGAGGGACGUGUCCUUCAUUGCAGGUACCGCAUGAAUAAGAACCGGCUAAUUCCGUG
rnacentral:rRNA from 1 species